rnacentral:snRNA from 1 species
ACGUCUGUUGGGAGGUAGCA